UGCGUGAGUUAAAUAUGCAAACGCAAAUGUCACGCAACAACUUUAGCCGCACAAGUCGUACGGAGAGAAAGGCAACAAACAAGAGUUAAUCUCAGCCAGAGAUUCUAAAAUCAAGCUGAGACACAAGCUGCUGGCUAAGAGACAUGACCCAGGGCAGGAUGUACAUAUAAGGCAUUGGUAUUUAAUGUAGGUCACCAAAAAAUAAACAAAUAUAAAGUAACAAAAAGUAAGAUAAUAUUUUAAUGAAAAAAUUGUUCUAAAAAAGGAACCAGAGUUAUAAAAGUAAAAAACCUAGUUCUUUUCCAAGUUAGCCUGACAGGUUCUUGUAUAAUGUGUGGUUAGUGACAUUUAGGCUAUUUAGGUUCUUAAAUAGUCUCUUGCUAUUAGAAUGACUCACUGAGGUAGUAAGUUAAUCUUAAUAUAUAGAUUUAGGUACUACCUAAAAGCGGAGCCAGCAUUGAACACCUUUUGUAUUGACUGAUAAAAGUAUUUUGGGGGAUCUAGGAUCCUGCUCUUUACUGAGUUUAUUGGACCAACCAAAUGGAUCCAGGCCUUAUUCAAUAAUUUAAAUUAUGCAGUACAUCAAAGUUAACAAACACAAUUCCUGGUGUAAAUAUGGCUGUCUAAGUUGUUAAGAGUCUAAUGGUAAAUUCUUAUUUCCCCACCAUAGAAGUUCCAUUAUGAAUAUUCUUAUAAUCAAAACAAUACUCCGACAAGCUUUGCCUUUGUGCAGAAUAUGUCAUGGAUGUAACAGCAUUUCAAAGAUUCCAAAUAAUAUAUUUACUAGACUGUUUAAAUGCCAUACUGUAAUUUUAAGGUAUCAAUUUAGUGGUGAUUCUCUCCUUUAUUGGGCUGAAUAUUCAGAAAAAUGUCUGGAAAUUAAAAUCCACAAAUGUAUCUCC